UAGUCGGUGAAAGUCCGACCGAGGUAGGGGCCAGACCGCCUCGUAGCUAGCAGACGCCUGGUGGUGAGAGCCUAAGGGUGGAGCAUCUGUGAAAAGCCCGUCAGGGUGAAGCAAACUUGCAGGCCGUAACGUGA
rfam:Alicyclobacillus ferrooxydans strain TC-34 contig_12, whole genome shotgun sequence.